rnacentral:rRNA from 1 species
CCUACGGGAGGCAGCAGUGGGGAAUUUUGGACAAUGGGCGCAAGCCUGAUCCAGCAAUGCCGCGUGCAGGAUGAAGGCCUUCGGGUUGUAAACUGCUUUUGUACGGAACGAAACGGUGAGCUCUAAUACAGUUUGCUAAUGACGGUACCGUAAGAAUAAGCACCGGCUAACUACGUGCCAGCAGCCGCGGUAAUACGUAGGGUGCGAGCGUUAAUCGGAAUUACUGGGCGUAAAGCGUGCGCAGGCGGUGAUGUAAGACAGAUGUGAAAUGCCCGGGCUCAACCUGGGACCUGCAUUUGUGACUGCAUCGCUAGAGUACGGUAGAGGGGGAUGGAAUUCCGCGUGUAGCAGUGAAAUGCGUAGAUAUGCGGAGGAACACCGAUGGCGAAGGCAAUCCCCUGGACCUGUACUGGCGCUCAUGCACGAAAGCGUGGGGAGCAAACAGGAUUAGAUACCCUGGUAGUCCACGCCCUAAACGAUGUCAACUGGUUGUUGGGUCUUCACUGACUCAGUAACGAAGCUAACGCGUGAAGUUGACCGCCUGGGGAAGUCGGCCGCAGGUUGAAACUCAAAGGAUUGGAGNGNGNGAGNGCGAGGCGACACGAGGGAGAGG